UAUCAUUCAUUCCUAUCUCAACUUUUUUCAUAAAUAUAGUAAUUUGCAAAUGAUGUUUUGCUUCUGCUGUUGCAAAAAAGGGUUUUGAAUCUGUAGGAACUUGCCAUGUAAAAUUGCUUUUCUCAUCAUCAUUAUCUCAUUCUAUUAGUAUGUAUCCAAGAGCAAAACACUUGAUUAAAUCCAAAUGAUUGAUAAAAAAGUUACUACAUUCAUAUGUAUCAAAUGCCUUUUUAAUGUUAAUUUUAAGGGAUAUAGGUUUCUAGUUUUCAAUGAUAUAUAAGCACCACCAGGCUAGAAUUCAGGUUUGGAAAGUUCCUUUAGUUGUAGUAUGAGAAAUCUCUUGUUUGGCAUUAACUCAGAUUGUAUACUCCAUCCUUGCCUAUCAUCUUUCAUUGCUUUAAUUCUUCACCUUCUCUUGCAAUCAAGAGUACUAUCUUCUACAGGAUUCUUUUCUAUGCUAUAGGCUCUAACCAUAUGAUUCUUUUGUAUGCUAUAGGCUCUAACCAUAGGAUUCUUUUGUAUGCUAUAGACUCUAACCAUAGCUUAAUACAACUCCUAGGUGAGUUUUUAUUCAUGUGCAUUGAAAUUCAAUUGUUGCUAGAUUGGGAGGGUCAAGUGAGUGGGUAUCAGAUUUUAAAUCCCACAUUGUCUAUUUCAUAAAAUUAACUAUGCUGCUUACGUAUAAACAAAAGGACCUCUGAUUGCUAACAGUUACGGAGCCGUGUGAUGAUGACAUAGUGAACUAUUCUUUCGCCUUUUACUAAAGAAUACCGUGUCAGCGUCACAAUUAGCGGCAUAUGCUAGUUUUUGGAAGAGUCCUCUUAAUUGAGGGUUCUGCAAUUUAGUUUAAGGUUAUAAUAUUUUUUCUACCAUCAACUUCACUAGACAAGAGCAAUACGGAAAGGGACCAUAAUGUGCAAAUUCUUCUCGUAACACACAUUUUUGUAAAAUAGAUAGUAACUAAUAAAUUGUUUUGUUGAAGCUUUGCAUUUCUGCUAUUCUGUCGUGUCUCGAGAUCCAUAAAUUAUUUUGUUGAAGCUUCGCAAAAAUUUUAAGCUAUUCAGCAAUGCAAACAAAGUCCACUAGCGAGAAUCGCGUCUCGAGAUCCAUAAAUUGUUUUGUUGAAGCUUUGCAAAAAAAUUCUGCUAUUCAGCAAUGCAAACAUAGUCUCCUUGCGAGAAUUGCGUCUCGAGAUCCUUGCAAGCUGCCGCAGCUACAUAUAGAUCACAUGCUUCAUUACUGAAUUUCCGAUUCUGGUCAGCACAAGAUUUGGCAACGGCGCAAGUUUGUCUAAAAACCUAAUUUUAUUCUUCAUCAUAAUCACACACUUCAUGGAACGCGACUAGGAAUGAUAUUUCUUACCAUCCAGAAGAGCAGUGACAAGAGGGGCUGAAGUACUUUUAGCAAGAUGCUUGUAGUAUGCAGCUCGUGGAGGCAUGGUGAAGAAGAGAUGUAGAAAAAGUAGGGGUCAAGCUGGGAAGAUGAAGAAAAAUGUCACAAAGUUAUAUUCGGCUACACAUGAGGUUGCAAAUGUGAGUUGGUGUAUGAAUUGUUGAUCCACUAAACUGAUAUAGACCGUGUACAUACAACUCCAACACUAAAUCUUAGGAACAAAUAUGUCCUGAUUUAGAUUUAAAUGAUGAUUAUCUUUCACAAAAAACGGGAUGAAUCAAUCUCAUGUCAUCUGAAUCCCACACCGGAAUUGUUAGAAUGAAUAGCAAGGAAGAUGAGGUAUAAAUAACAAGUGUGUGACACAUUGCAAUAUACUUACCUGGAUGGGGUCAAUGGGUGAUCAUGAAGGCCCAUGGCCUAGGCAAGUGACUUCCAUUGCACUUAAGGAGGGGUGCUUGCCUAAGGUCUACCCAAGUGGUGGAACCUACAUCAUAAUUUGUUGCUGUGGGGGCCUGCGUUCGCGCGGCCCUCUUCAA